GACGAACGCUGGCGGCGUGCUUAACACAUGCAAGUCGAACGGAAAGGCCCUGCUUUUGUGGGGUGCUCGAGUGGCGAACGGGUGAGUAACACGUGAGUAACCUGCCCUUGACUUUGGGAUAACUUCAGGAAACUGGGGCUAAUACCGGAUAGGAGCUCCUGCUGCAUGGUGGGGGUUGGAAAGUUUCGGCGGUUGGGGAUGGACUCGCGGCUUAUCAGCUUGUUGGUGGGGUAGUGGCUUACCAAGGCUUUGACGGGUAGCCGGCCUGAGAGGGUGAGCGGCGAAAUUGGGACGGAGAUACGGACCAGACUACUACGGGAGGCAGAAGUGGGGAAGAUGGCACAAUGGGAGGAAGCCUGAUGCAGAAACGCCGCGUGCGGGAUGACGGCCUUCGGGUUGUAAACCGCUUUAGCCUGUGACGAAGCGUGAGUGACGGUAAUGGGUAAAGAAGCACCGGCUAACUACGUG
rnacentral:rRNA from 1 species